rnacentral:snRNA from 1 species
AUGGCAUUGAAUGUAAUUAAAAAAAAAUGUUCUUAUCAGUUUAAUAUCUACAUAUUAAAUUGAUUUUUUUGAACAGGGAGUCGGAAAUGGGGCUUGCUCCGUCCGCUCCACGCAUUGACCCGGUAUUGCAGUACCUCCGGGAACGGUGCAACACUU